rnacentral:rRNA from 1 species
UACGAAGGGGGCUAGCGUUGUUCGGAAUCACUGGGCGUAAAGCGCACGUAGGCGGAUCUUUAAGUCAGGGGUGAAAUCCCGAGGCUCAACCUCGGAACUGCCUUUGAUACUGGGGAUCUCGAGUCCGGGAGAGGUGAGUGGAACUGCGAGUGUAGAGGUGAAAUUCGUAGAUAUUCGCAAGAACACCAGUGGCGAAGGCGGCUCACUGGCCCGGUACUGACGCUGAGGUGCGAAAGCGUGGGGAGCAAACGGG